GGCAACGUGACCGGGACCCGCGACGUCACUUCCGGCGGAAGUGCUCUGCUCGUGGAGACGGACGCCGGGCCUGGGACACGGCGGCGGCGGCAGCCAGUGGGGACGGUGAGGAGGGAGGUGAAGAGUAAUACAAUGUAUCCACAUGAAGGACAUACUUAUUUCCCAGACAAGGGUCGUUGGACUGCUGGUCGCAAAGUGUUCCUGUCCACCCUCCGUCGCACUCGCAGCUCCAUGGUGUCUUCCUGAUUUAUUCAUUCAUUCAUGGCUGGUGUUGCUACGCGCAUAACAUGCCCAAUCACAUAAGGACAAUUCUGCCCAAAUAUCUGCUAAUGGCGGGAAGAAUUACUGCAUGGGAAGCUGACAUUACACUGGGAAUCUGAGUGCACCAUGGAGGCUGCAGCAGCUCUGCCAAGUCAAACAGAGCAUUAUGGGCUAGCACAGUGUACCCGGCGCAAGCCAGCAGGACAGGGAUCAACCAGAAUGCUGAUCUGCUGCUUAUAACAGCAACCCCCAGCAAUAUCUACAGGACACAAUUCCAAACAAAACGGAGAAGGCAAGUGCCUAAUAUUAGGGAUGUCUGAUUUUCCAAACAAAAGAAAACAUUAUGGCACAGCUCUGUUUGGCCUUUCUCUGCCAGACAACGUAUGUAACGUGGAAAAACAGAAAAGGAGAUUUAUGUGCUGCAACAAAAAUCAAUGUAUCGGUGGAUUUAUGGAACCACGGAGCGGCUGCAGCUGAUUUAUAACCUCCCAGUGACUUCUUUGAACCCAAUCCCAUAUUCAGAAGACUGGAUUCACUUUCAUGUUAGUGAGAUUGUGGACCCGUGUUUUAUAGCUGGUAGAGGACACGCUAAUACAGUACAGGAGAAGGUCUAUAGCAAGCCAAAAAGGCUGAGCACUGUCAAGCAACAUAAACUUGGAAUUUGGUGUAUCCUCUGAGGGGCAUUUGCACUUACAGAGAGUUGAGGGAACGCAGGCCUUGGAAAGCAUCUGGGGCUAUUUCAGAUAUCUGGUUGUUGCUUAAAUCACUGCAAUUAGAAACAGUUUUAUGAUCAGAUUAUAUCCAUACUAAAAGUAACAUUUUUAAGACAAAAUUCUGAGCGGUCAUCAUAGUUAACCAUGUUAAUUCAAAAAGAUCGUAAAGGAACAUACGAGGACCACUAAAUCCAGGGAUUGUAACGUUUAGAUAUCAACCAUGGCGGUUUAGUACAUAAUUCAGUGUUAUCCUGAUAUUCCACUGCAGCCCUGAUAAAAAAAAUUACUUACCCAUUUAUUAUAGACAUCUAUAAAACAGUGUCUCUAUGGGAUUUGAGACAGGGUAAAAAGUUGAUACUGUAGUUCUCCGAGCAGCUGACCUGCCUGUGUGUACGACUCCAUCAUACCUGAACUCUAGGAGAGCACGUCAGCAAGCCUACCAGUCACUCUCUCUGCUCUUAGAAAGCACAUCACUAUUAACCAUAGCAACCUCCAUAAACCACAUUUAUUUCAUGUUGUUAAGCACUGUAAAAACAGCCUUUCCUAUAUAUUUAUGUCUAGCAGUAAAGGUCACCUAUGAAAGUGCACGUUGCAGGUUUGUGCACUACCCCCCAAAACAAAUCUGCACCUACUGUACUCCAGACAGAUUCUGGGCCCAAACGGAAAUGCGCAUAGUGGAAUGAGUGUAAAGUAAACUGCUGAGAUUAGCAUAGUUCAUGUCUUAAAUUAAUAAUACCGGUGACAGGACAUCCGAAUUGUCACUUUUGCAAUGCUAAAAAUUGGUCUGACGCAGGGUUAUUCAACACGGGGCCUCCAGCUGCUGUGGAACCACACAUCCCAGCGUGUCCUGCCACAGUUUUGUUAUUAAGCCAUGCUAAAACUGUGGCAGGACAUGUUGGGAUGUGUAGUACCACAACAGCUGGAGGGGCGUAUGUUGAAUAACCCUUGUCUAACAUAUGAGCUGAGGCCUAGCUUCCACGGCAAAACGUCUCAUGUCCCAGUGAUAUCACUAAUUCCUAGUGAUAGGAUAUAUACUUGGGCACUCUUGGCCCUUUGGAAAGGUAGGCAAGUCUUCCAGAAACUGCCUCACCCCCCACCCCCCUCUACACAAUCACCCCCCUCCCUCAUGGGGCAGCCAGAAAGUAUGAUCUGAUAGGCUGUAUACUCAUUCGUUUUGGUUCAGGUCACAAAAUAGCUUUGUGCACUGUGUAUACAUGACGGGUACCCUAUUGGAGUCUUUAUAUAGCAAACUAAAACAGUUUAAAUACCAGCAUAAAAGCUCUAUGGAAUACUACAGUCCACUUGUAGUUUAUGUAGUUCUUCUAUAUAUAUAUAUAUAUAUAUAAUAAAUAUCCCCAAGUGACAAAACAAUGACCUCUAAUAGUUUACCUUUUAUCCUAUAUGGCUAUGUUUUUGCUAGAAUUGUUAUUUGAUGCUUCUAUACCAAAGUCACAGAUGAUUAACAAGUGAAAAAGACCUGUGGUUGUGGCAAUCAGUGGAUAAUAUUUGCUAAUCGUCCAUCUGUGAAAAGCUUAGAGAAUAUUUUUGGAUACCCCGUGACCCCCAUUAAAGGACUGGUUUGAAAUGA